CUUGGGUGUGUGUGUUUGUGUGCAGUGGUGGUGUGCAUUGUAUCGAUCUGUCCGGAUGUUGAGAUGAUGUUUGCUUUAUAAUAUAAAGCGCGGGGAAACCCUUUUUUGACAUGAGCGCACGCUCAACCUUGACCUCGGAGAAGUGUAUGCUAUUGCAAGUUUGACGAGUUCAAGGAUUGUAAUCGGAAAUGAAAAAGGAUUAGCACUGGUAGAAAU